rnacentral:rRNA from 1 species
UACGGGGGGGGCAAGCGUUGUUCGGAAUUACUGGGCGUAAAGGGCUCGUAGGCGGCCAACUAAGUCAGACGUGAAAUCCCUCGGCUUAACCGGGGAACUGCGUCUGAUACUGGAUGGCUAGAGUUCUGGAGGGGAUAGCGGAAUUCCUGGUGUAGCGGUGAAAUGCGUAGAUAUCAGGAGGAACACCGGUGGCGAAGGCGGCUAUCUGGACAGAAACUGACGCUGAGGCGCGAAAGCUAGGGGAGCAAACAGG